UCGCUGACGAGUGGCGGACGGGUGAGUAAUGUCUGGGAAACUGCCUGAUGGAGGGGGAUAACUACUGGAAACGGUAGCUAAUACCGCAUAACGUCGCAAGACCAAAGAGGGGGACCUUCGGGCCUCUUGCCAUCGGAUGUGCCCAGAUGGGAUUAGCUAGUAGGUGGGGUAACGGCUCACCUAGGCGACGAUCCCUAGCUGGUCUGAGAGGAUGACCAGCCACACUGGAACUGAGACACGGUCCAGACUCCUACGGGAGGCAGCAGUGGGGAAUAUUGCACAAUGGGCGCAAGCCUGAUGCAGCCAUGCCGCGUGUAUGAAGAAGGCCUUCGGGUUGUAAAGUACUUUCAGCGGGGAGGAAGGGAGUAAAGUUAAUACCUUUGCUCAUUGACGUUACCCGCAGAAGAAGCACCGGCUAACUCCGUGCCAGCAGCCGCGGUAAUACGGAGGGUGCAAGCGUUAAUCGGAAUUACUGGGCGUAAAGCGCACGCAGGCGGUUUGUUAAGUCAGAUGUGAAAUCCCCGGGCUCAACCUGGGAACUGCAUCUGAUACUGGCAAGCUUGAGUCUCGUAGAGGGGGGUAGAAUUCCAGGUGUAGCGGUGAAAUGCGUAGAGAUCUGGAGGAAUACCGGUGGCGAAGGCGGCCCCCUGGACGAAGACU
rnacentral:rRNA from 1 species